rnacentral:snRNA from 1 species
AUACUUACCUGGCAGGGAAGAUACCAUGAUCACGAAGGUGGGGUUUUCCCAGAGCAAGGCUUAUCCAUUGCACUCCGGACGUGCUGACCCCUGCGAUUUCCCCAAAUGUGGGAAACUCAACUGCAUAAUUUGUGGUAAUGGGAGACUGCGGUCUCGCUCUCCCCUG